rnacentral:rRNA from 1 species
GGUUAAGCGACUAAGCGUACACGGUGGAUGCCCUGGCAGUCAGAGGCGAUGAAGGACGUGCUAAUCUGCGAUAAGCGUCGGUAAGGUGAUAUGAACCGUUAUAACCGGCGAUUUCCGAAUGGGGAAACCCAGUGUGUUUCGACACACUAUCAUUAACUGAAUCCAUAGGUUAAUGAGGCGAACCGGGGGAACUGAAACAUCUAAGUACCCCGAGGAAAAGAAAUCAACCGAGAUUCCCCCAGUAGCGGCGAGCGAACGGGGAGCAGCCCAGAGCCUGAAUCAGUGUGUGUGUUAGUGGAAGCGUCUGGAAAGGCGCGCGAUACAGGGUGACAGCCCCGUACACAAAAAUGCACAUACUGUGAGCUCGAUGAGUAGGGCGGGACACGUGGUAUCCUGUCUGAAUAUGGGGGGACCAUCCUCCAAGGCUAAAUACUCCUGACUGACCGAUAGUGAACCAGUACCGUGAGGGAAAGGCGAAAAGAACCCCGGCGAGGGGAGUGAAAAAGAACCUGAAACCGUGUACGUACAAGCAGUGGGAGCCUCUUAAUGGGGUGACUGCGUACCUUUUGUAUAAUGGGUCAGCGACUUAUAUUCUGUAGCAAGGUUAACCGAAUAGGGGAGCCGAAGGGAAACCGAGUCUUAACUGGGCGUUAAGUUGCAGGGUAUAGACCCGAAACCCGGUGAUCUAGCCAUGGGCAGGUUGAAGGUUGGGUAACACUAACUGGAGGACCGAACCGACUAAUGUUGAAAAAUUAGCGGAUGACUUGUGGCUGGGGGUGAAAGGCCAAUCAAACCGGGAGAUAGCUGGUUCUCCCCGAAAGCUAUUUAGGUAGCGCCUCGUGAAUUCAUCUCCGGGGGUAGAGCACUGUUUCGGCAAGGGGGUCAUCCCGACUUACCAACCCGAUGCAAACUGCGAAUACCGGAGAAUGUUAUCACGGGAGACACACGGCGGGUGCUAACGUCCGUCGUGAAGAGGGAAACAACCCAGACCGCCAGCUAAGGUCCCAAAGUCAUGGUUAAGUGGGAAACGAUGUGGGAAGGCCCAGACAGCCAGGAUGUUGGCUUAGAAGCAGCCAUCAUUUAAAGAAAGCGUAAUAGCUCACUGGUCGAGUCGGCCUGCGCGGAAGAUGUAACGGGGCUAAACCAUGCACCGAAGCUGCGGCAGCGACGUUUAUGCGUUGUUGGGUAGGGGAGCGUUCUGUAAGCCUGUGAAGGUGUACUGUGAGGUAUGCUGGAGGUAUCAGAAGUGCGAAUGCUGACAUAAGUAACGAUAAAGCGGGUGAAAAGCCCGCUCGCCGGAAGACCAAGGGUUCCUGUCCAACGUUAAUCGGGGCAGGGUGAGUCGACCCCUAAGGCGAGGCCGAAAGGCGUAGUCGAUGGGAAACAGGUUAAUAUUCCUGUACUUGGUGUUACUGCGAAGGGGGGACGGAGAAGGCUAUGUUGGCCGGGCGACGGUUGUCCCGGUUUAAGCGUGUAGGCUGAUUUUCCAGGCAAAUCCGGAAAAUCAAGGCUGAGGCGUGAUGACGAGGCACUACGGUGCUGAAGCAACAAAUGCCCUGCUUCCAGGAAAAGCCUCUAAGCAUCAGGUAACAUCAAAUCGUACCCCAAACCGACACAGGUGGUCAGGUAGAGAAUACCAAGGCGCUUGAGAGAACUCGGGUGAAGGAACUAGGCAAAAUGGUGCCGUAACUUCGGGAGAAGGCACGCUGAUAUGUAGGUGAAGUCCCUCGCGGAUGGAGCUGAAAUCAGUCGAAGAUACCAGCUGGCUGCAACUGUUUAUUAAAAACACAGCACUGUGCAAACACGAAAGUGGACGUAUACGGUGUGACGCCUGCCCGGUGCCGGAAGGUUAAUUGAUGGGGUUAGCGGUAACGCGAAGCUCUUGAUCGAAGCCCCGGUAAACGGCGGCCGUAACUAUAACGGUCCUAAGGUAGCGAAAUUCCUUGUCGGGUAAGUUCCGACCUGCACGAAUGGCGUAAUGAUGGCCAGGCUGUCUCCACCCGAGACUCAGUGAAAUUGAACUCGCUGUGAAGAUGCAGUGUACCCGCGGCAAGACGGAAAGACCCCGUGAACCUUUACUAUAGCUUGACACUGAACAUUGAGCCUUGAUGUGUAGGAUAGGUGGGAGGCUUUGAAGUGUGGACGCCAGUCUGCAUGGAGCCGGCCUUGAAAUACCACCCUUUAAUGUUUGAUGUUCUAACGUUGGCCCCUGAUCGGGGUUGCGGACAGUGUCUGGUGGGUAGUUUGACUGGGGCGGUCUCCUCCUAAAGAGUAACGGAGGAGCACGAAGGUUGGCUAAUCCUGGUCGGACAUCAGGAGGUUAGUGCAAUGGCAUAAGCCAGCUUGACUGCGAGCGUGACGGCGCGAGCAGGUGCGAAAGCAGGUCAUAGUGAUCCGGUGGUUCUGAAUGGAAGGGCCAUCGCUCAACGGAUAAAAGGUACUCCGGGGAUAACAGGCUGAUACCGCCCAAGAGUUCAUAUCGACGGCGGUGUUUGGCACCUCGAUGUCGGCUCAUCACAUCCUGGGGCUGAAGUAGGUCCCAAGGGUAUGGCUGUUCGCCAUUUAAAGUGGUACGCGAGCUGGGUUUAGAACGUCGUGAGACAGUUCGGUCCCUAUCUGCCGUGGGCGCUGGAGAACUGAGGGGGGCUGCUCCUAGUACGAGAGGACCGGAGUGGACGCAUCACUGGUGUUCGGGUUGUCAUGCCAAUGGCACUGCCCGGUAGCUAAAUGCGGAAGAGAUAAGUGCUGAAAGCAUCUAAGCACGAAACUUGCCCCGAGAUGAGUUCUCCCUGACUCUUUAAGGGUCCUGAAGGAACGUUGAAGACGACGACGUUGAUAGGCCGGGUGUGUAAGCGCAGCGAUGCGUUGAGCUAACCGGUACUAAUGAACCGUGAGGCUUAACCUU